rnacentral:rRNA from 1 species
GAUGAACGCUGGCGGCGUGCCUAAUACAUGCAAGUCGAGCGAACAGACGAGGAGCUUGCUCCUCUGACGUUCGCGGCGGACGGGUGAGUAACACGUGGAUAACCUACCUAUAAGACUGGGAUAACUUCGGGAAACCGGAGCUAAUACCGGAUAACAUGUUGAACCGCAUGGUUCAACAGUGAAAGACGGUCUUGCUGUCACUUAUAGAUGGAUCCGCGCCGCAUUAGCUAGUUGGUAAGGUAACGGCUUACCAAGGCAACGAUGCGUAGCCGACCUGAGAGGGUGAGCGGCCACACGGGAACUGAGACACGGUCCAGACUACUACGGGAGGCAGCAGUAGGGAAUCGUCAGCAAUGGGGGAAAGCCUGAAGGAGCAAAGCCGCGUGAGUGAGGAAGGUCUUCGGAUCGUAAAACUAUGUUAUUAGGGAAAAACAAAUGUGUAAGUAAAUAUGCACGUCAUGACGGGACCUAAUCAGAAAGCAACGGCUAACUACGUG